UACGUAGGGUGCGAGCGUUGUCCGGAAUUUAUUGGGCGUAAAGAGCUCGUAGGCGGCUUGUCGCGUCGUCCGUGAAAACCUGCAAGCUCAACUGCAGGCUUGCGGUCGAUACGGGCAGGCUGGAGUUCGGUAGGGGAGACUGGAAUUCCUGGUGUGAAGCGGUGAAAUGCGCAGAUAUCAGGAGGAACACCAAUGGCGAAGGCAGCUCGCUGGGACGGUACUGACGCUGAGACGCGAAAGCGUGGGGAGCAAACAGG
rnacentral:rRNA from 1 species